UCACUGCUCAUUCCGGUAGGCGGGCGCAGCGGCCGGUGUGGUCAGAACUCGGGCGGAGGCAGGGCCGGUGCCGCAGGACUGGGGCGGGCGGCGAGCGGGCGGCCAGGGCAGGGCGUCAGGCCGGUGCAGACUGCGGGGCCGACUUUCGGGCCGCGGGAGCAGGAACGGAAGGCGGGGCGGGGCGGACCGGGGAGGAGGCGGACUGGGGCGCCACCGGCUUCUGAGGGGCGGCUCGCCCCCUUCCGGCCCGGGGCUGGUCGGCGGGGCCGCGGGGGCAGGGCGGGCUGCGUGCCGGGUCUGGCCCUGCUCUGCGGCCCGCGCUCGGCGUUUCGGGCCUCCGGGCCCCUCCGGGCCGCGCGUCCGCCCAGGGACUGCGGGUCUGGCCUCCAGGUGUGGACCUAGCAGCGCCCUGUAGCCUUCUUAAGCGCUGACAUCUGCGAAGGGCUUUGUAUUGUAAACUCAGAGCGCGUUGUAGUCCCGGAAGCGCUUUGACAUCCCCGAAGUAGCGCUGUGCAAACUGAAGCGCUUGGUAAUCGCGGAAGCACGUUGUGGGCUCGGAAACCAAAUCGAACGAAGCCUUUGGUAAAUCCUGGGACCUUCUGGACUUCUCCGAAGCGCUUUGGAAUCGCAGACAUUCGAAGCGCUUUGACAUCCCUGAAACCUUGAGCACUGUGAUGGGCAGUGGAAAGAAGGGGGAAAGGUGCCCAUGGCGUCGGAGAGGCGCAAGGUCAAGUACCACUGGAGCAGCCCUUCGGAGCGGAGUUCCCGCAAGCGCAGCUGCCUCCGGGAGCCCAGUGAUGUGGCCCCCUCCAGCCAGCCAGCUCACAGCUCUGUGUCGCGUUCUGGAGGGGCCAGCAGCCCCAAGCGCAUGAAAACCCAGAAGGAGCAUGGUGUGUCCUGGGGCUCAUCCCGCCGCAGAAGUUCCUCCUCCUCCUCCCAUUCCUCUGGCCCAGGUGUGGGUGGGGCCGUCUCCAAAGGAGGCCUGAAUCAGAGCUCAGGAGAGUUCCUUUCGUCAGGGGGAUCCCCUCUGUGCCCUGCCAGACCUUCUCUAGAAGAAAUGGCUUCUCUCCAGGAGGAAGCCUGCAGCCUUAAGGUUGAUUCCAAAGAUAGUUCUCGUAACCCCAUGGAUUCUGAAUUUGCAGCUGAAGCUGAGGUUCAAAAUGACAUAAUUGAGGAACCAAACAAGGUCCAGAAAAGGCAGAGGGAUAGACUUCGAGACCAAGGCUCUACCAUGAUCUACCUAAAGGCCAUCCAGGGCAUCCUGGGAAAGUCGAUGCCAAAAAGGAAGGGAGAGGCUGCCAUGAAGGCAAAACCCAACACGGCAGAGCGCGCCAGCCACGGAGAGGGGCCAGCCAGGAGUGUCACCACGUGUGCCCCUCAGAAAGAGAAAAAGUCUGCCCCAGAGGUCAGAGCGGAGGAGGAGAAGGAUGUGCCGGAGAAGAGCAGCUUCUGGGACAGGAGAGUGGUGAUAGACCCUCAGGAGAAACCCAGCGAGGAGCCCCUGGGUGGCCGAAGGACGGUCAUUGACAAGCGCUGUCCAGUCCUGGAGUUUUUGGAUGACUCUGACGCGCACGUAAACGGCCAGAAACCUAAAGACCGGGAGGUGGUGAUGGAGCGCACCUCUUCAGGAAGUGACUGGUCCGACGUGGACGAGAUUUCCACAGUCAGAUUCUCUCAGGAGGAGCCCAUAUCCCUGAAACCCUCAGCGGUUCCAGAGCCUUCUCACUUCCCCACGGAUUACGUCAUGUACCCGGCUCACUUGUACAGCAGUCCCUGGUGUGACUACGCCAGCUACUGGACCAGCGGUCCCAAGACCCCCGGCUACCACUCCGUGGGCAGUGGCGGCAGCGACACGGUGCAGGUGGAGAGGAGUGGCCAGGGCUCUUCCCCCCACUCAACGGUGAGCCCCCAGCACAACUCCAGAGAGCCCCAGGCCGCUGAGGAAGGCAGAUCCCGCAAGUCGCGUUCAUCUCGUUUCUCCAGAAGCUCGGAAGAAGAAGAGGUGAAGGAGAAAAGAACAUUCCGGGAGGACAUGCCACCACGUCCGUGUGGAGGACCCGCAUCUAGCUCCCUGCCCAGGAGCCGUCGGGAGCCCAGGUUGGAGGGUUUCAUCGACACCCAUUGUCACUUGGACAUGCUCUAUUCCAAGCUGUCGUUCAAAGGGAGCUUCACAAAGUUCAGGAAAAUUUACAGCAGCUCCUUCCCUAAGGAGUUUCAGGGCUGCAUCUCCGACUUCUGCGAUCCUCGCACACUGACAGAUGGCCUCUGGGAGGACCUGUUGAAAGAAGAUCUGGUGUGGGGGGCCUUUGGCUGUCACCCCCAUUUUGCACGUUACUACAAUGAGAGUCAAGAAAGAAAUCUUCUGCAGGCCUUAAGGCACCCCAAGGCCGUGGCAUUUGGGGAGAUGGGCUUGGAUUACUCUCACAAGUGCACCACGCCUGUCCCGGAGCAGCACAAGGUGUUUGAGAGGCAGCUGCAGCUGGCCGUGUCUCUCAGGAAACCCUUGGUGAUCCACUGCCGAGAAGCUGAUGACGAUCUGCUGAAAAUCAUGAAGAGAUUUGUGCCUCCGGACUACAAGGUUCACAGGCAUUGCUUCACCGGCAGCUACCCAGUCAUUGAGCCCCUGUUGAAGUACUUUCCCAACAUGUCCGUGGGCUUCACAGCGGUCCUGACAUACUCCUCUGCCUGGGAGGCCCGGGACUCUCUGAAACAGAUCCCGCUGGAGAGGAUCAUCGUGGAAACUGAUGCUCCCUAUUUCCUGCCUCGACAGGUUCCCAAGAGCCUUUGCCAGUACGCCCACCCAGGCCUGGCCUUGCACACGGUUCGAGAGAUUGCCAGGGUCAAAGACCUGCCACUCGCCCGCACCUUGGCCACCCUGCGUGAGAACACCUGCCGCCUCUACAGUCUUUAAGCAGAGAGGGUGCCGUCAGGAGUCUCCCAGAAAAGGAUGACCAGCGGCCUGACAGGAGAAAGGCCGUGUGAGCUCUGCCUGUGUGUCCCUGCUCGAGGAUGUUUGAGAGCCCGCUGGGAUGGAGGACACCCGGACAGGACGUUUCCUGAGACCUCGUCGGAGGCUUCCGCUUCAGGCUGGUUGGGGGUGGGGCCGGCGUGCGGGGGGCUGGCGAGGGGUUCGGGCUGGCCUCCCGGCUGCAGUGCUCCAGGGCAGCCUGGGAAGAAGAGGAGGCUGAUGUGAGGGCACAGCGAGCUUGCCCGCCCAGUGCCUGCCUCCGCAGCUUGUGGUGCGAGCAGUCUGUGAAUAAAGUCACACUGCUCCUCAGCUAAGUGCACGUAGGCGUGUAGCUUGGUUCCUGGUUCUCCACUGUCAACACGAACCCCCAGUGGGAGAUCUCCUCUGGGGGACAUUUGCCAGAGACCUGUGUUAGAGGCUGAUGCUCCUGCGGCCAGAGAAGGCAGCCCCUCCCUUCCCUGCGUGACUCUUCAGUCUGGCUCUCACUGUUGCUGCGUCAGCUCUGAGUUGGCACUGGUGGAAGGACCUUGGCUGCUGGUCUCACUGGUUCCACUGCCAUCAGUAUGGAGGGGCCAAAGGGGUGCUCAUGGUCCAGGGAAAGUCCUGGCCGAGGAACAUCUGGACAGACUGGGGGACUUGAGGAGGAGGAAGCCUGCUUGAGGAAGACGACCCCGAGGAAGGUGAUCCCACUUACCGAGGUCCCCAGGGCUGCAGCUCAGUUGUGUUAAACUGACAGGGUCCAGUCUGCAGCAGAUGCUGUCUGCUGGUCUGCUGUCAGGGGGUUCCAGCUGCCCUGUGCUCCACUCUGCCCCCUUCUCCUGGAGCACUGGACCAAAAAUGCUUCUGUUUCAGCUCAUGUAACAGCCCCUUGUGUGCCCCAUCCAGGUCGAGAGGUAAACCAAUUUAAUUUUCCAAAGCUCUGCUGGCACUGCCCAGCCCUCUUCUAUUGCCUAUGCAGAACAAGAGGCCUGGUGUCCAUGGAUCUCCCGUUCCCCGUCCUGGGGCUCUCCCUUGCCUUGGCCUCUGCUGCGUCCUUUCUCCGUGGUGAAAGUGAGAGCCACUCCUUGGACUUUGAACAGCCAGGUCAUCUCAAGUUCUGAGCUGUGCUCUGCUCCCUGCUGGUGCCUUGUAAAGGUGUGUUCAUUACAGGCCCUGGAAGGUUAUGACGGUCAAGAGUUAAGAGUGAGGAUGCUCUGCAUUUGGGACAGAAGGAUCCUUUAUUCCAACCUUCCUCAGUGCGACAGGCCACUCUGAGUCCCUUGUCUGUUUCUUGGAGGCCAAUAGCUGAAAUCGUAAGAUCCAGUGCUUAUGUUGGAUGCCUCUAGGUGUUUGUGGAAGGUGCUUUUGAACCUCGUAACCUGCAAGGGAAUGGACUUUGCAUUUCAUAUAUGGUAUUUCCCUCUUGCCCCGGUACCCAAGUUGCUGGCCUGGGAAGUAGGCCUUAAUUCAGUGUCGACCUUCCAUGGAUCAGCUGUGUGUCAUCUGUGCCGCAGAUUUGGCAAAUCCGGGGCCUUGUUCUCCUGCUUGGAAGAUUUGGAGGACUAAGGAUUUCACAGUGCUUUGUUGUCACCCAAUGAACUGUCCCUUAUCCAUCUCUUUCACAGCAAGGCCUGUACAUCACAACUGCCUCCGAAGGAAACCAACCGGGCCUGUGUUCAAGGACUAAGAGUGAUAACUCAGUGGAUGUCUCUGAGCCAUUGCAGUCUCCCUGCCAAAGUAAAGCACAAGGUGCUAUAUACUUUUAUCUCCAGGAUUUAGGAUUAUCAUUUCUGUUGCACAGUGAAACAUUACCUGUGUGGGAGUGAAAGCUGGUUGGCAUUGUUUUUGGAUGGCUGACUUGAUUGUUUCUGCUGUGUUGCCGGAAUGCCUCUGUAUCUCUGCCCCCUCGCUCCCUUUGACCAUCUCUUUCUGAAAAUAAAGUGAUGGAUCUUCAGCCAACUCCCAUGGUCUCCAUGUUCGUUUAUAUUUCUCAGAGUGUUAACGAUGGUUUAGUUGUUGACUAGCUUUGUAACCUAAGAAUCCAAAGGUCUGGAGACUUUCAAAAAUGUACCUGUGCCUCAGCAAAAUUCAACUGGAAAGGGCUUCCCUGGUGGCGCAGUGGUUAAGAAUCCGCCUGCCAAUGCAGGAGACACGGGUUUGAACCCUGGUCUGGGAAGAUCCCACAUGCCACAGAGCAACUAAGCCCAUGCACCACAACUACUGAAGCCUUUGCUCUAGAGCCUGCAAGCCACAACUGCUGAGCCCGUGUGCCACAACUACUGAAGCCCGUGCACCUAGAGCCCGUGCUCUGCAACAAGAGAAGCCACCGCAAUGAGAAGCCUGUGCACCGCAACGAAGAGUAGCCCCCUCUCGCUGCAACUAGAGAGAAGCCUGCACGCAGCAACGAAGACCCAGUGCGGCCAAAGAUAAAUUAAAAAAAAAAAAAAAAAAAAGAUUUGCUAAAAAGAAAAUUCAACUGAAAAGAAGAAUCCCUGGUACCUUCUUAAAAGUUCUGCCUUUGAGCAUUAACUCUCAUUUUACUGCCUGGAAACACCCAGAUACACUGCUGCUUCUUAGCAGUGAAAAAUACAUAGACACCUUUGUUCCAGAGCAACGCAGUAGGAGGAAGAAAAAUUGAGUACACGAGGGUGUUGUUGAUGACUCGGUUGUACUGUGGGCUUUGGACUGUGAACUCUGAUGCUGCUGGGUAAACUUUGGAGGAAAUUCUGUUUCACUGCUUGCAGUCAGUCUUCCAGUUUUGUCCUAAGGUAUCCUUGAACACAAGUAAGUGCUCAAGCCCAAAGUAAACCCGUCAAAAGGGAGGCUCUGUUCCAAGAACGGUAAAGAAAUUUGGAAUCUGUUGAUGCCUCAUGUCAGAUGCACAGUCAUUGGUUUGCGUAUUUCCAGCACAUUACUCACUGUCUCAGCUCUGUCCCAGCUGGACAUAUGGCAGCUAUGUCCACUGGACACAGUGAUAGUCUCUUUGUGGCUGGAAAUCUGCUCUUGGCUUUUCUCGUGUUUUACAUCUCUCUGUAUUAAGUUUGGGACCAAUAGUAAUCAUUUACCGUGAACACUUUCAUUUUUGCCUCAGGCAUUUCUGUAAGAUCAGGGCAAAGGGCCACUGAAGUGUACGGUGCUUGAAUAAAGUGUCCAGGAUGGCAGCAGAACUGUCAGUCAGUGGCCAGGCAGCCCUGUGCUCCCUGAAAAUGCUCAUUUGUCGACGAUGUUUGGAAGUGGAUUCAGACUAAAGGAAGGUAGCCAAGCAUGGAUCUCUAUUAUUCUGUCUGUACACCGUCGUAAGAGAAUUUCUUACCCCUCUGUAAGUGUGUAAGAUGUUAAACACGGGCUUCCCUGGUGGCACAGUGGUUAAGAAUCCACCUGCCAAUGCAGGGGACAUGGGUUUGAUCCCUGGCCUGGGAAGAUACCAUAUGCCACGGAGCAACUAAGCCCGUGCUCCACAACUAAUGAGCCUGCGAGCCACAACUAUGGAGCCCGAGUGCCACAACUGCUGAAGCCUGUGUGCCUAGAGCCCGUGCUCUGCAACAAGAGAAGCCACGACAAUGAGAAGCCCUCGCACAGCAAUGAAGAGUAGACCCUGCUCGCCACAACUAGAGAAAGCCCACGCACAGCAACGAAGACCCAACACAGCCAAAAAUUAAAACAAAUAAAUUAAUUAAACAAAAGUUAAAUACAUGAGCUGUUAUACUAAUGUACUGGGUAUAUUAUAAAAUAAAGUUUUUUAUAAGGAGGGUUUUUUUUUUCUGCAGCAAAUAUCUUUCUCAGCCCAGGGGUAUAUACAGCUGCUUCAGAGAACCGGAAGUUAGUGGUAUUGGGAAGUGACACGUGCAGGAACAGGUCCAAGAAGGCCGACGUGGGACCAGGUUUGAAAUGCUACGUUUUCUCAAGUGUGUUGCCUGUUUCCUGUGAUCACUUUUAUUUCUGCUGGUUGUUGACUUGAAAUUGUCCUCAGCCCACUCCAAGUUGACCCCGUGUAUUAUGAAAGAAAAUGAAAAACAGAAACAGAAGGAAUCCCUAGGACCCUAAGCAGCAGGGCAAGAGGGUGACAUUGGUAGAGAAGCAGCGGAACGUGGGGGAGUGGGGGCCUAAGCCCACAGCUCUGGGCGGACUCACAUUGGGACUCCGAGGAAACUGGAGAAAGGACUUACCGCUGGCGUCUUCCCAAAGGACGUCCUGAAGAAACUUCCCCAGGGUCUGGCCGUGCUGGUGGGACUGAGCCCCUGACAGCUUGAUCCCAACGUCAAAGGGGGCGCUGAACUAGGAGGACCCAGGAAUUGUCAGAGGUCACACCCUCCUUAAAUGCUCAUUUCCCCUCCACCCCUGUGGCUCAUGCGGGUGGUUGGAUGACCCCAGCCGACUUCGCAGCACCGCGAGCACCAAGCUGGGGACCUGCUGGGCUGGUUUGCACCCUGGAACCGGCGACGGGCAACUGACGGGAGGCGCAGCAGCUGUUGGAUAGGGGUGCGGCUUUGAGCGACUUGAAAAGUCCUCCGUUUCUCUCUAAACGGCUCCCCUGCCCCGUGAACUAUUCAUCAAAGCUCAAGCAAGCCUGAUGAGCCCCAUCCUCGUCUACAGGUGGGGUUUGGUGAGAGCUGGGCUCACCGCUCACCUGUCCAGGCCGCCGCCUGGUAAGAUUGGGUAAGGUAAGGUCCAAGGGGCCCCUGAGUCGAUUAGAAAGUUUUCUGCAGGAAACGCCUCCAGUCUGUGACCAGCUCUUCCUUCCUGAGUGUCUGUUUGCUGGCUCCCCUCUGAGAUCACCUGGCAUCUGCUGGCGCCCCCUCUCCCCUCUGCUUGAGGCUCAACCUGAUACAGCAAAGUUGCUUAGAUGUUUGCCUGUUGAUCGGCAAAGCCCAUCUCAACAGAGCCCAGUGGUGCAGAGUCCACUGUUUUUUUGCUGUUUAAUGUUCCUUGAGUGGCUGGUAAGUGAGUCCCUGUGGAUGGCCGCCUCUCCACGCCCUCCCCCGCCCCAUCCCCUCCACUGCGGAAAGCAUAAAGCUGCAGAGGGACCCACCUGGAUUUCCAGCUCGUCCCCUGCGCCUUCCGCCUGACUUCUGACGUCUGCGUCAAGCCAGCCUUCCAGGGCCCGGGGCUUCGGUUUGGCUGACGGCUUCUUGGAUUCCUUUCUCUGCUGGAAAGAGGAGGUGUUCUCCUUAGGGCCCUAAGCCCCCCUGUCCUUCCAGAAGCAGAGUGAGGGGUGGGCCCACGGUCAGACCCAGAGUCCUCCUUUGUGCUCUGGGAGAAGAAGGCUGAAGCGCAGAGAGGGUGAGCCACUGCCCAGCUCACGCAGCUCACGGCAGGGCUGCAAUGAGAUUCCCCAGUCAGAGCGCAGGCCUCGUGGGGGGACGUCUCACCUGCACUUUCUGGUGUUCGGGGCUCAGGAAGCUGGAGCCCGCCAUGGCCAAGUCCACCCAGAGCACACUGAAGAGCAGCAGGCUGCAGACGGUCCCUGGGGAGGGCAUGGCCUCGGCCGGCUGGGGACAGAUGGGCCUGGCGGAGAGAGCAUCUCUGGGCAGCAUGCACCCCCAUUCCAGCCCCUCUUUAACCCCCGCUUCCCUCCCUGUGCCUCUGAGCCCAGCAGACAGGCUGAAGGGCUCUGACCUGGACCUGGGGCCAUGAUUGCUGAGUAGAGCGGCUCUUAGCGCCCUCUCUGCCCGCCUUCCCCAGGUAGGACCGAUGGAAGGAUGUGGGUGCUCUUUUCCAAGACUGUUCAUCUGGGGGCAGAAUGCUUGGCAGUGGGACUCCCCAUGUUCUUUAUCCCAGGCCCCGAGGACCUUGUGCCAAGUUUCUCGAGGAUGUUUGAGGAAGCUGAACUGGCAAGGUCCCAGGAGACAUGGGGGCCCUGGGGCGGCUCCCAAGCCCAGCUCUGAGCAACCAGGCUGCCCCAGGUCAUGCCACCUCCCCGAGUUCAGAUGGGCCUGCGGAUGCCCGGCAGUGGAGGUGAAUUAACCCAUAAACAGACCCUCGGACACACAAGAGAGUGGCCAGAGUGCCUACCUGGGAUUCCUGGUGGAGGUGGUGCCUGGUGGCUGUCUGGUCAUUAUAUAGGCAGCCUGUGUUUGUUUUAAACCAGCAGCCCCACCUCAGGGCAGCCCAGUAUCCGGGGGCUGAUGGACAUUCCUUGGGAACUAAAAAUACUACGCACGUUGUCCUCGGAGUAGAAAUCAACAGCGGUGGGCAAACGCCCUGAGAGAUGGCUGGGUGGCCUGGGACAGCCACGUGAGGUGGCCAUCUGCUGCUCCUCUCUGCAAGCGUGCCUGGCCCUGGUUUAGGUGGGAGGGAGGAGAGUGGCCCUGGGUCUGGUCUGGCUUUGCUGCUCUGCGGCCUUGGCUUACUGGCCCUUCUGCCACUCCCUUCCUCCCGGGAUAGAACGAGGUAUCCUCACUCGAACUCAGGAGCUUGUCCUGCCCCUGCGCUCGCUGCUCUCCAUGAGGGAUGCUGCUCUGGCUCCCACAGACCCCGAGCACAUGGGACGCUGGCUCGUGGAACUCUCACACGUCCACGAGGGAAGCCCCAUUUAUCAGAUGAGGAAACUGCAGGGGAGCAGGGCAGAGACCAUCUCCAACAGGGGCUGAACUCCAGUCCUGUUGUUUUUUUUAAAAUGUGUAGUAUGAUCCCAUUUUAUGGAAAAAAUACAAGAUAAAAAUACAACAAAUAUAGACAGCCAACUAUCUGGAAGGACAUAUGCUAUUGAAUUUUUUUCUUCUUUGUAAUUAUUUUUAGUGCUUAGGUUGAAUAUUCAUUUGGUAAUAAGAAACAAGCAAAUAAGUGUCUUACUUUUCUGUAACUCUUGGUAGAAUCACAUGCUCCACCUUGCAAAAAAAAUCAAACCUGAGUCUAUAGAUGCUGUAGAUUCAAUUACCAACUCCCAAGAAAUACAGGGGAUGGACGAGUGUGUAAAGGGGACCCACAGGGAUGCAAUCAGCCCAAUACAAACUGAGGGCAACAAUAAGGGGCAAGUGUCCAAUCCCUUCUUUUGGGUGGUGGUGAUGGCUCUGCUCAGCUUGGUCUUUCUUAAUGUGCGGGCCUUUCUCCCCUCGCCCAGCCAGGUUCUGAGAGGGAGCAGAGUGCCCUGGGGGCAGGAGAGCCGGGACCUGGUGCUGCCACAGCCUUUGCCACGUCAGAUGCUCGCGGACGAAGAGCGCAUCAACCACGUGGGGGAUUCCUUACGUGCCCGCAGCGGCUCGUCCCACAGGAUGCCCAGGUGGUGACUCCUAAGGGCUUGGGUCCUAUUUUUUCUGCUACUGAAAGAGGAGUGUUGAGAUCUCCAGCUGGAAUUGUAACUGGCUUCAGUUCUGGAUUCUGCUGCUGAAAAAUGGACAAAGAACAGGCAGAAGAGGGGUCCACACUUAGCUGUGCACAGAACCUCCUGCAGUGAGCGGCCUGACCUUUCCUUGGUGUGUGCGCACAUAAAGGCCCGGCGUGAGCUCCACUCCCCGAUUACGGCUGAGGAGCCCCAGCAGCAGGUCCCGGAUUCCAGCCUUGAGAGUUCCGAUUUCUGAGCUGAGACGGAUGAGGAUGCCAACGCUGCCUCUGGCACGUGGCGGUGGACAGCCCAGCGCAGCUCUUGACCUUCUUGCCAGUUUCCUCACCAGUAAGUUGGGGGUUUGUUCCUACACAGGUUUGCUGUGCUGCUUCACAUGUGAAAGCUCCAAGUUCAUGCCACUCAUACAGGUCUCAGCUACUGCCGUGACCUGCUGUUUCACUUCAGGGUCCCAGGGCCUCCCCUUGGAUGUGAUCCUUGUUUCAGUGUUGGUGAGCUGCUCCUUCCACUGACGGCAGAAAACCAGGUGAAUUGUGUCUGCUUUCCUCUUCAGUCUUGUAAACUCUUGGGAUAUGGUUGAUACUCCACUGUAUGUGCAGGGCAGACUUUAUUAGCCUCAGGAUAAGUAGCAGAGCUGGGGGCUGCAGUCCCAUCCCUGAAGGCCAAGUGUAGCUUUGUAUGGUGCCUUCAGCAUAGACUGAGUCACAAGGACUUACACAGUGACAGAUCAGCUCUGUGGGCAGGACUCAGCUAGGCCCAUAGGGACCUGGGUCUUGGUAAUGCUGUUCUAGGACACUAACCAGCAAGAGGUAAAACGAGCUUUGUAAGGAGGGGUUAGAAAAAUGCAGGAAGAAUUAUAAGCAAUACAAGUUUAUUUAAUUACUUUGGAAACAAUUCCCCACCCCCCCAAAUGAUGUCUGAACCUAAAAGGUACAUAAAAAUGACCAACAAUAUCUUAAAAUAAUAGAGCUGACGGUUGUUUUUCCCUCAGAAUAAGUGUGUGUUCAGGUGGACAGUAAAUUACAAACCAUAUCAAAUCAUGUUAAGGCAGAUGAUAAGCUGGGUGCAUUUCUUAACGACUCCCCGGAAAGUGAUCUUGUGGGAGCUGGGUGUUCUUCCUCCCAGCUGUGUGGUCAGUUGGCCCACGAAGGGGCAGUCCUGGAGGCAGCAGGUAGAGAACAGGCUGUGCCUGUCUUGUCACUGCUCGUUCUGCUGACCCUCUGUGACUGAAGUGGACACAGAACCCUGGCCCUUGUUGACAUCACUGAUGCACACCCACUGCCCGUCAACCGACUCCUUCCACAGGGUCACCUGCAAGCCAGCACACACAUCGUUACAGGUAUGUAUCCCUGCCCUUACCUCCCUGGGUUCUCUAAAGAGGGCAAAGAUCUCCAGCAAGAACUACAGCUCACAGUCUUGUGGGUAAAGAGAGCACUUACUUUGGUUCCCCCCACUGAAAUCCCACCAAAAUGGAAGUAAAGGAAAAAGUAUCCACACAGAGUAAGAAAGGAGGAGUAUGGAGAGUGAUGUCAUAAAGAUGGUGACACAACUUGUUCACGGCUUCACUUUCCCUCAAAAGAAGAACUAACAGCUAUUCAUAGAGACACACCAUGAACAAAUCCUACAACACAGCAGUGAGGCUGAAGUGCCCUGCACUAUGGACACCGAGACCGACUCUGUUUGAAGGAUCGCAGCUGAAUCUGUGAGGCCCAGCUGCUGAGAAUCGGAUUGUGACCAGAGGGCUUCCAACAACCAGCACUCAGAUCUCCACAACCUGAGUCCCUUCCUGCAGGGCCCAAGUGAGUCUGUUCUGACAGGGAAGCUGGGGCACAGGUAGGCUACAGUCCAGACCACAAACAAAGCAUUAGUAACCUUAAAGCUGCUUCCCUGGAAAGCACACCAGUCCACAGCUGCACUUGCUAUUGAAUACAGCCUUUGGACUGCCCAACCAGUGAAGCCACAUAGCCGGUCAACAACCCUGCUUAAGGUAACACGGGAAUGGAAAGCACUGCCAGUGGCAUUCACUGCAUAGCAAAUCUAGUGGCCUCACCUGAUCAGGAAUUCAG